rnacentral:rRNA from 1 species
GUAGGGAAUAUUGCGCAAUGGACGAAAGUCUGACGCAGCGACGCCGCGUGAGUGAUGAAGGCCUUAGGGUCGUAAAGCUCUGUUGAAUGGGAAGAAAAAAAUGACGGUACCAUUCGAGGAAGGACCGGCUAACUUCGUGCCAGCAGCCGCGGUGAUACGAGGGGUCCUAGCGUUGUUCGGAAUCAUUGGGCGUAAAGGGUGUGUAGGUGGCCAUGUAAGUCAGGUGUGAAAGCCCCGGGCUCAACCCGGGAAGUGCACUUGAUACUGCGUGGCUUGAGUACCGAAGAGGGUAGUGGAAUUCCAGGUGUAGUGGUGAAAUACGUAGAUAUCUGGAGGAACACCGGUGGCGAAGGCGGCUACCUGGUCGAGUACUGACACUGAGACACGAAAGCAUGGGGAUCAAACAGGAUUAGAAACCCCUGUAGUCC